UGUUAAAAAUUUCAUCCAUUUGUACUAUUAAAAAUUAGUGUGGUUGACGAAAUGUGUACCUCAUACUGAUGUACAGUGAUCGGUUUUUAACAAUAAAAAUGGAAGAAAUUUUAACA
rfam:Gossypium raimondii Chr11_contig_12, whole genome shotgun sequence.